AUCCUUUUGUAGUUUGUAAGCAUGAUGAUUGGGUUUUCACAUACAUGUCUGAGAAGUGCCUCUCUCAAACCAUGUUACAACAUCAGCCAGCACAUUACUUGUCUUACA
ensembl:snoRNA